GCGUGUGUGGAAUGGGAGGAGGUCGCGCUGUCCAUGGGCGUCCUUGGCCUGCGCCACCCAGAGAUGAUAAAUAGCCAAAGACGUCAAUGGCACCCAUGGACAUAGUAAGCAUAGUAGGAGCUGAAAAACUAGAAGCAAUGACAAUGUCAACUAUUUUGAGCAAAAAGAAGCAGUGUCUUCGGAACAUUUGAUCAUAAAACCAGAAAUUAAAGGAUGAGAAAAACAUUUUUCUGAAGCUUAUACUUUCACAUUUCCUAGAGAGCAUAUUUGUGUGGAUGGGGAUCUGGUGUCAAAAGUGAGGAUCCAAAGUAAAACUCCAGUGACUCUCAGGAUCACCAGGUGACCAGGAGGCAAGGUCCAUAAGGACACUUGAAACUCAUUGCACGUGGUACUCUAUGGAAGGAAGUGUCAAUGAUGUGGAAAACAACUCCGAUAGAGAGAACAUCAUGAGAGCUUGGAAUGAUUACAUCAUUGGCAAUGCCAUCAUUGUUAUAGAAAAGCCAUGAAAGCCAUCAAGCCUGAAACAACAAAUUCCUUCUGGAGAAUACUGUGUAUAGAUGUGCAUGGCUUCACAGGAUUUAUGACUGAGCCAAUCAACGAAAUCAUAAAAGAAGUUGUGCAUAUGGCAAAAAUAAAAAGGUGGGGGUAAAGGGUUUCAAGAUAUGGGUCUUGGAUUAAUUCAGGACCUAAUAAACACCACACCAGAGAAAUUCACAAUGGAUGAUUUGAUGGAGAUGAGUGCUUUCAAACCAGUGCCAGAUGAUGAGGAGGAAGGCAUAGAAGAUGCAGGGCCAGGAAACAAGUUGACUUUAGACACUCUGGGAGGAAGGAUCCAGUUAUUCAAGAAUGCUUUUGACUUCUUUCAUAUGACAUGGACCCUUCUACAAUACAGGCAAUAAGAUUAAAGCAAAUGAUAAAGAAGAAUUAGUACUGUAUAAAAACAUUUUUAGAGAAAUGAGAAGACAGGAAUUCAGAUAGAAAUUAUGAUGUAUUUCUGUAAAGUUACACUGAGUGUGCCUGCUUCUUCUGACUCCUCUUCCAUCUCCUCCAUAUCUUCCACCUCUAUCACCCCUGAGACAACAAGACCAACCCCUUGUCUUCCUCCUCCUCAGCUUAGUUGAUGCGAAAACAACAAGGAUAAAGAUCUUUAUGAUGAUCCACUUCCACUUAAUGAAUAAUAAAUGUAUUUUUUAACUUA
ensembl:lncRNA MIR4458HG MIR4458 host gene